rnacentral:sRNA from 1 species
GCGGAGGAGAGGGUGAAUAGCUCGUCCCAGGACGCGAAUUUUGGGGCAAAGCGAGACAUGUUGCGGCCGAUUAGGGAUAGGAAGGUUUGAGUAUCCGGGACGAAGGGGGUUGGCGGGGGAACGCGGAGCUGGGAGCUUCUAUGGAGCCGGCGGAGGAAUUGGUGAGGGGGGGAGAAGAAAGAGAAAUGCCAACGGGACGUAUGGAAGGUGGCUAGGAGGCGGGGAGAGCAAGGCUUGAGUGGGAUGGUUCGGGCCGCCAUGGUGAAUAUUGGUUGCGAUGGUCGACGGGGGGCCCAAAAACGGUAUGGGAGGGCGUUCCGCGGGGAGUCCAAUUGGGGAUGCUCUCGGUCACCU